rnacentral:rRNA from 1 species
AGCGAACGCUGGCGGCAGGCUUAACACAUGCAAGUCGAGCGGAGAUGAGGUGCUUGCACCUUAUCUUAGCGGCGGACGGGUGAGUAAUGCUUAGGAAUCUGCCUAUUAGUGGGGGACAACAUUCCGAAAGGAAUGCUAAUACCGCAUACGCCCUACGGGGGAAAGCAGGGGAUCUUCGGACCUUGCGCUAAUAGAUGAGCCUAAGUCGGAUUAGCUGGUUGGUGGGGUAAAGGCCUACCAAGGCGACGAUCUGUAGCGGGUCUGAGAGGAUGAUCCGCCACACUGGGACUGAGACACGGCCCAGACUCCUACGGGAGGCAGCAGUGGGGAAUAUUGGACAAUGGGCGGAAGCCUGAUCUAGCCAUGCCGCGUGUGUGAAGGAGGCCUUUUGGUUGUAAAGCACUUUAAGCGAGGAGGAGGCUACCUGGAUUAAUACUCUAGGAUAGUGGACGUUACUCGCAGAAUAAGCACCGGCUAACUCUGUGCCAGCCGCCGCCGUAAUAC